UUGAUAUCCAUUUCUUACCAUCUGAGGUACACUUAACAAGUUUUUAGCUAUUCCUGGAACCAGAAACACAUCUUUAAUUACUCUCACACCCUUCUUGGUCAUCACCUCAACGUUUCCUUUCCCUGUGGUCACCAAUCUAGCACCAUUUCCAAUUCUAAUAGUGUACGCAGCAUCAAACAAGCCAGCCUCCUCUUCUUCUGGUUGUUCUUGGGAUUGCCUUGCUUGAUGUUGUUUGGUUCGACAAUCUUUCACAAGGUGUCCAGGUCUUCCACAAGCAAAGCACCCUCUUCUUGGUCUGAAUUGCUUGGAGAAGAACUGAGUCUCGUACCUGCACUUCAGAUUCUUCAAGCUCUAGGAACACCAAGAUCUGAUAGCUCUGAUACCAUGUUCGUUUAGCCACUUAAAAGUUCCCUUUUUUCUUAAACUUUUUGGAUAAGAUCACAUUUUACACAUUACACCACAUAUAUAUACUCUACUUAGUUUUAACCUAAGGCUUAUAAACCAUUAAACCCAUUAAUAGAAAUGGGCCUAAUAAGUU